CUGAUAAUGACAUAAGAACAGAGCUGAUUGCUCCUCCUGCCUGUGGAGAAAGCUUCAAAGUUGGUUGAUUACGGAUAAUCACCCCAUUCAUGAGUUGGAUGAAAUGACCACACUAUCAACAACUAUUUCAAAGUUACCACCAUGAACUUUGGCGAUUGAUAAAGAAUAGUCAUUGCAGGCAAAAAAUACAGGCAAGGCGACCUGACUAGAAGACUUCUAGGAAGAGGAAAGGCUCAGUCUGCAGCUGCCACCCAGACACAGAGAAAGCAAGAUAAAAAUUCUGCACUGACAAAAGCUAAUGGAAGAUUUAUUGCACUUUGAUGAUCAUAUCCAACCUUCCAAGGAGACAAAGUGAACAAUCGCUUUACUUUUGAGCAACCUGUUUUACUCAAGCACCCUCAUUUUGGACUAACCUAAAC